rnacentral:lncRNA from 1 species
UCUUCGUCCUCUGACCUCAUCCUAAAGCCCGAGGGUGGUGGUACUUUAAUCCUCAGAAGGGGCUCUCUUUCAUCACCGGUCUUCCGUCGUCCAUUCAUAGAUGAAAGAAUCAGUUCUUUUUUGUAUCUUCUUCUACUCCUUGGGGGUUCCCUGCCCGUUGGGAGAAUCUCCGAACCCAAUGGAACGAGAACAGUCAGGUGGAAGCUGAGGAUCGGGAAGACUUCCACCAUCUGAAAGACAUUUCGGUGCUGAAGCAG